UACGUAGGGUGCGAGCGUUAAUCGGAAUUACUGGGCGUAAAGCGUGCGUAGACGGUUUUGUAAGUCGGAUGUGAAAUCCCCGGGCUCAACCUGGGAAUUGCAUUCGAGACUGCAAGGCUUGGGUGCGGAAGAGGGAAGCGGAAUUUCCGGUGUAGCGGUGAAAUGCGUAGAUAUCGGAAGGAACAUCAGUGGCGAAAGCGGCUUCCUGGUCCAGCACCGACGUUCAGGCACGAAAGCGUGGGGAGCAAACAGGG
rnacentral:rRNA from 1 species